AUCAUGCAUAUCAAUGUUAAAAUCUUCAACACGUUACUUCUUCUUUCUUCUUUCUUCUUUCCGUAAACCCUUCAUCUUCCUUCUUCUUUUUGUAAAAUCUUCAUCUUCAAUACUCUAUAGUUGUUGACGCCUUCUUCUUCAACAUCAUCAAUAUACCAUGUUUAUUUCUUCUAUACUUGCUUCGAUUGAAUCAUGCUUAUUUGUUGCUUCAAUCUUUAGCUAACAUUUGGACACCCCUUUUGUUGUUUCAGCAUACAAAACAAUUUAAUGGCUCGCCCAAUAGAAAUUGCAGGGAUAUCAACGACUCAAAAGAUUUAUAGAAAAUAGUUGUUCGGUGUAAAAAAUCUUGGUCUGUGACAAGUACCUCCAACGAAGACCACUUGGAGAUGGUUUUGCUUGAUCCAGAGCGCGACAUGAUUCAAGUGAUUGUUCCACCGCAUUUGGUUUCGAAGUACAACCCUGAACUUGUUGUUGGAAGUGUCUACAUCAUGCAAAAUUCCAAGGUUUUCAAUAAUGAUUUCUCUUUUAAAUUAACCACUCAUUGUUUCAAGUUGGUAUUAUAUGGAUCAACUUCGCUAAAAAAACAGAAUUGCCUGACAUCCUUGUAGACCAUCUCAACAUACUUGGUUUGGCAUCCAUAGUUAAGGAUAUUGUUAGAGGAGUUACUGAAAUAACUCAGACCCAAGUGAAUGUUGAUAAUAACAAAAACAAGGUUGUUUUUACAAUAAUUGAUAUGAGCUUGCUUUAUUGUUUUACAAUUAUUAUAAGAUCCACAAGGAAGAUGGUAAUGUUAUUGUACUUCGGUAUAAUGCAAGGAUAAAGAGGGCUCAAGAAGGUUUUCCCUUGAAUGUAUUCAACGCAUGGAAUGACACUAAGUUAAGAUGUUAACAUAGUUGAGAUUAAGAAGCUAAAAGAAAGGUAGUCUACUUCUAAGACAAGUGCCUCUGAUAUUUCUGAUUACUAUUAAAAUAGAAUUUGUUCCAACUCUUUUAAUGAUUUUUUUCUUUGUUAUAUAUCAUAGUCUUUAACGGGGAUUACCUUUGUUAUCUUCGUCUAGUCUGCAAGUUGAAUUGAACCAAAACUCACAAUAUUUUGAGUUUGAUAAGUUUAUAUGGAAAGCUAAAAUUUUAAGUCUUGAUGAAAUCACGAGUCUUUAACCUGUAACAACUUAUACAUGAUAAACCUUAUUUUUUACUUUAACAUUUUAUAAUUAGAAAAACUAUACAGAGUAAACCAGACUAACACAUGACAAAAGAAAUCCACCUAACCAUCUCCAAAACAUAGCAACUAUAAACACAAGCAGAAACAAACAUAACAUUACAACAGAACCAUGUCAUGACUGCUAUAACAGGUUCGAAGAAGAAGUUGCAAACAAAUCUAAUUAAUUAGACUUGGUAUGAGUAAUAACAUAUUGGCACAAUCUUGCACAUGUACUUUACAAUUUAUAACUCAUUCAUAUUUUGAGGUGUUCCAGCUGUAGAACCUUCUCAUACUGUGGAUUUAUUGGAACUCUCCAAUAAAAUGGAUUCACAUUAUUUGUCCAGUAAACAAUUUGCAGCACUGGCCGACAAAAAAGGAAGAAAAAUCUUAAAGAAAGAAGAUCGAAAAACACAAAGUUGAUGAGAACGAUAUCAACAAAAAUGAAGGUCGUGAAAGCUAUUGUGCUCUAUCUAGAGGGCGUAUCAACACACCACUAUCUGAUAUAACUUCUGGGGUGCUUAAUGAAAGAAACCAUAAUGCACAUACACAACCAAUUGGAUCUACUCUUCCAGCUAAAAAAAGACUGAAUGUUGGUGUAAUUCAAUCUAUGUCUGUUAAUCUCUUUAAUCAGUUUGUAUAUGAGAAUCAUCAUAAUGCUUCUUCAUCAAAAAGUAAUAUGCCAACACAAGGAUCUGCAACAGUCUUCUCAAAUACAAUGAUGAAUUUUGAAGAUUUGUCCACAAAAUAACUUCCAGCAUCAUCAAGACAAAGAAGGAAAAUAAUGAUGCAAGAAAGAAUGUCACACAGAUACAGACUUGGUAAGAACAUUAUCAAUAACAAUGGAGGUCGUGAAAGAAUCAAUUUUCCAUCCAGUUUUCAUAUCAAAACACCACUAAUGAAAGAAACAAGAAUAUUCAUACACAGCCAAUUAGAUUUGUUCUUCCAUCUAAAAAACAAUUGAAUGUUGGCAUUAUUCAAUUUAUGGUUGUACACCUAUUCAAUCAUUUUGCAAAUGAGAAUCAUAAUAGUUCUUCUUCAUCAGCAAGCAACGUGCCUAUACAAGGAUCUUCAACGUUCAUUAUUACUCCAAAUGGUAACAUUGAGAAUGAUGAUUCUGGUGAUGAAGACUCAACAGAUAAUUCACUGAGCGACAGUUCUUGUGAAUUCCAAAAUGAAGAUGCAAACUAUGACACAAGUUCUGAUGAUGAAGAAUACUAUGAUCCCAAUUCUACUUUUCUAGAUACUGGAAAUAUAGGUACGUAUCAUUAUAACAAAUUUUAAAUCUUCAUUAAGCAUAAUUUACAUAUUAACUUGACGUUCAUCAUAAGCGACUUUCACUUUGCUUCAAUUAUGGUAUAUUGUUGUUGUUAAAUAUCAUCGUAUUAUUUACUAUGAAGCAAUUACUCAAAGUCAUUUGGUUCAACAGUUUUUGGUUCAACAGUUUUUGGUUGAUGGAUUUACUAUAAUGGAGUCACAAAGACUGAAUUAUAUUUGCAAGCAUCAGAAAAAGCUUAGAGUUUCUAAAUACUACAAUUUAGCUGGAUUAGAACAGUCCGCAAACACACAAGGAUCAAACAAAGGUAAAAGAGUGGUUUUACCGUCAACUUAUGUUGGAAGUCGGAGGUACAUGGAACAACUCUAUUUUGAUUGAAUCGUAAUUUGUAGCCAUAUUGGAUUUCCAGAUCUUUUUAUCACAUUUACUUGCAAUCCAAACUGGUCUGAAAUUCAAAGAUUUCUUAAGAAAAUUAACUUACAUCCUUAAGAUCGUCCAUAUAUCAUCUCAAGAGUCUUCAAAAAUAAAGUUUGAUGAGUUUUUGUGUGAUUUAACAAAGAAGCAUGUCUUAGGGAGAGUUCUUGCAUGUAAGUCAAAUUAAGAUAUAUACACGAUUGAAUUCCAAAAGCGGUGUUUACCACAUGCACAUAUUUUGCUAUUCUUGCAUCCGUCGAGCAAGUGUCCAACUCCAGAUGAUAUAAACAAGAUCAUUUCAGCAGAGAUACCAACAAAAGAAGAUGAUAGGAAAUUGUAUCACCUGGUCAAGACACAUAUGAUUCAUGGUCCAUGUGGUUUAGCAAACACAUAUUCACCUUGCAUGAAAAACGGAAAGUGCUCUAAAUACUUUCCCAAAAAAUAUUAGCCUAUAACCAUUGUUGAUCAAGAUGGAUAUCCUGUGUACAGAUGAAGAGAAAUUGGUAAUAUAGUGAUGAAAAAUCACGUUGUUCUUGAUAACAUAUAUGUCGUUCCGUAUAACCCAUAUUUGUUGAAGAAAUUUCAAGCACACAUCAAUAUGGAGUGGUGUAAUUAGAGUACUUCAGUGAAGUACUUAUUCAAGUAUAUCAAUAAGGGGUAUGAUAGAAUUACCACUGUUGUUGUUCAAAUUGAAUCUGACGGAUCUUCUGUGAUAAAAAAUGUUGAUGAAAUCAAGCAAUAUCUUGAUUGUAGAUAUGUCUCACCAAGUGAAGCAUGUUGGAGGUUUUUUUUCAUUUCCUAUUCAUGGUAGGUCUCCUGCAGUUGAAAGGAUGUAUUUCCAUCUUGAGGGUGACAAUUCUGUUUACUAUAUUGAUUAUAAGAGGAUAGAUGAAGUGCUUGACAAACCAACUGUGAAAGAAUCAAUGUUUAUUUCAUGGAUGGAAGCAAACAAGACAUACCCAGAGGCAAAAAACCUGACAUACUCUCAAUUUGUUUCCAAGUUUGUUUAUGAAAAAGGAUACUGAUGUUGGAGACCACGUAAAAGAGGCCAUACCAUUGGCAGACUAAUUUGGGUUCCUCUAAGUACAUGUGAGUUGUAUUACUUGAGGAUGAUGCUAACAAUUGUCAAGAAACCAACUUGAUAUGAGGAUAUAAAAUAUAUGGGUGGAAAGGUUCAGGAUAGUUUUAGGGAUGCAUGUUUUGAAAUGAGAUUUCUUAAUGAUGACAAGGAAUAUGUUGCAAUCAUAAAUGAGGCAGAGAAUUGGGGUUCCAGACAUUUUUUGAGAAAGUUAUUUGUUAUUAUGCUACUAUCAGGUACCAUCAAUAGACCACGACAGGUUUGGAAAAACUUGGAGGACAUUAUUUGACGAUAUUCUCUAUCAACAAAGACAAAAGACAAAUAAUAUAGAUUUGCAGUUGACCAACACGGAGAUAAAAAAUUUGACAUUCAUUGAGAUUGAGAAUCUGUUGCAAUCAAAUUGAAGAAGUUUGCAUGAAUUUUAAGUUGUAGGAUGUGGUGUGUUGUUAUUGGUUGGUUGCUGCAAUGAUGAAUUUCAAAGCUUUAUGGUCUACUUAAGAGAUAACUUUCAAUAUGUUUACAUGUUGCGCUAUAAAGUUUAUAAUAACUACGUAUUAUUAAAAGUGACAGCUAUGUUAACUUUGUUGUUUAAUAUAUUAUUUGGACAAAAAGUUUAACAUUCGGUGAA